UGCGCAGGCGGUUUGGUAAGUUAGGUGUGAAAUCCCUCGGCUCAACCGAGGAAUUGCACUUAAUACUGCCAGACUUGAGAAUGAAAGAGGCAAGUGGAAUUCCAGGUGUAGCGGUGGAAUGCGUAGAUAUCUGGGAGAACGCCAAUGGCGAAGGCAGCUUGCUGGGUCAUUUCUGACGCUCAUGCACGAAAGCUAGGGGAGCAAACAGGAUUAGAUACCCUGGUAGUCC
rnacentral:rRNA from 1 species